UGUUAUCUUCAUUCUGUGAACGCAUGCUGAUGUCUUUUUUCUGAAUAUGUUAACGCCAGAUGGUCAUUUUAUGACUUGAAGAGGAUAAAAUAUGUACCAAACAACUCAUGAUUUUCCAGUUGUUCAAUCUUGCUAUAUAUAAAAAAGAAUGCUUAGUUCCAAAAUGGAUCGGAACAGCCUCCAGUGCAAAUGCGUGGUCAUCUUGGCGGCCCUGGUUCUCAUUUCCGGUUUACCAAUAGAACAAGAUCCGGUUGACGCUGAUAUUGACGGCAACCAGCAACAGACUCUCAUGGACAUGAAACGGUCUUGCUUUGAAUUUUGUUUUACCAGACACAUGCCAUGUCCACUGAUAUGUCGCUCGGUGCUGAAAAAUGACGCGUUCAAUCUGGGCGUGGACAAACGUUCAUUGGGUGGUGGGAUUGACGGGUUCACAUUCGACGACUACUUAUUUCUGCGGUGGCUUGGUCGCGACUUAACCCAAAGGAGUCGGCUGUACAAAUGAGAGACGCGCAAUGAAAUUGCAGAAAUUAGUAUCGUGGAUAUAAAGGGACAAACAAAAAGUGUCCAUUUGUUGUGAACUAUCAGCAGCUGCAAAUACGGAGGACUUCAUUCACUGAGAAAUUAAUACACUUUCUUCACAUUUCAAAAUGUAACAUUUCAAAAAGGAAUAUGAUCAUGAUAAUUAAUAUUUGAUUGCCUAUGUUGUCAACAUAUAAUAGUUGUGUAAUAUAAUACAUUUUCUUCACUGAUAAAUACUUUUCUAAACGUAUGGUAUUAUUUAUUUGGGCAUAGUUCGGUUGGUUAAUUGUUUUUAAGUACGUAUUUGCAUACAAGAUAGUAUCCAAGUUUUAUUGCUU